GAUGAAGAACGCAGCGAAAUACGAUAAUUAAUGUGAAUAGCAGAAUUCCGUGAAUCAUCGAGUCUUUGAACGCACAUUGCGCCUCAUGGCAUUCCGUGAGGCAUGCCCAUCUCAGCGUUAGAAAAUAUUCUCAAAUUUUAGUUUUGUGCUAAAAUUUGGAUCAUGUCAAGGAAGCUAUUACUAUUAUUGUGAUCGCUCUUUGGAAAUUGAUAGGUCUUUGAGUUGCUACUCAUAGAACGUGAUGAAUCUUUCUUCGUUCUAUUGUAAUUCACUCUGGUAGUCCUAAAACUUGUAUGCCUGUGGCAUAUCUUGUAAUUUGACCUGAGAUUGGGUAGGGAUACCCGCUGAACUUAAGCAUAUCAAUAAGCGGAGGA
rnacentral:misc_RNA from 1 species